UUAAUAGCAGCUUUCCGAGCCUUUUGCCCUAAAGGAAUAGCUAAGGGCAUUGGCCGAUAGGGUGCCACUGGAAACGGUGACGCCUCCCAUGUUUGGAAAGGAGAGUUGACAUGCACAUA
rnacentral:ncRNA from 2 species